GACGAACGCUGGCGGCGGGCUUAACACAUGCAAGUCGAACGAAUAGCGAUGGAUGCUUGCUUCUAUCAAUCUUAGUGGCGAGCGUGUGGGUAAGGCGUAAGCAACGUGCCCUGCAGAGGGGGACAACAGUUGGAAACGACUGCUAAUACCUCAUACGAGCGAAAGUCGGCAUCGAUGAUAGAUGAAAGGUGGCCUCGACAUGUAAGCUAUCACUGAAGGAGGUGAGUGCGACGGCUUAGCUAGUGGGAGGGGGUAAGGGCCACCAAGGCGAUGAUAAGUAGCCGGUCUGAGAGGAUGAACGGCAACAUUGGGACUGAGACACGGCCCAGACUCCUAAGGGAGGCAGCAGUGGGGAAUCUUCCGCAAUGGACGAAAGUCUGACGGAGCAACGCCGCGUGAGUGAUGACGGCCUUCGGGUUGUAAAGCUCUGUUAAUCGGGACGAAAGGCCUUCUUGCGAAUAGUGAGAAGGAUUGACGGUACCGGAAUAGAAAGCCACGGCUAACUACGUG
rnacentral:rRNA from 1 species